AAAAAAAAAACUUUAGCAAAUGUAUACUUUUGUAAAAUUGUUUGCAGUAUUUCGCUUGACAACUAUCAAAAAUUUCACUUUAAAAACGGUCAAGUUUCGUUAUGAAUUCAAUACAACGCAGUAGGUACGGGCCGAUCCAUUGAGUGCCUUACACUCGAUAUUUCGAAAAGUAUUGAGUUUUUUUACAAUUUAACAAACGAGCAGCACUACAAUUUUACGGGGGUGGGUAAACUAUUUUUGAUUUUCAAACAAUCCUAUAUUAAAAUGGCCGUAAGUAGAUGGGAGGUGUUUGAAUGGAUUUUGACGUCGACAUUUUUGUUUUUCGUUUUUUGGCGAAUUUAUAUACGCGUAACUACUCGGGACUAAACCGGAACACAGUGAAAAAAAAAACGUCCGAUUUAUUAAUUACUAAUUACGAUCGCCGUGUUGAAUUGUUCAGAGUCGGUAAAG